rnacentral:rRNA from 1 species
UACGGAGGGGGUUAGCGUUGUUCGGAAUUACUGGGCGUAAAGCGCACGUAGGCGGAUUGGAAAGUUGGGGGUGAAAUCCCGGGGCUCAACCCCGGAACUGCCUCCAAAACUAUCAGUCUAGAGUUCGAGAGAGGUGAGUGGAAUUCCAAGUGUAGAGGUGAAAUUCGUAGAUAUUUGGAGGAACACCAGUGGCGAAGGCGGCUCACUGGCUCGAUACUGACGCUGAGGUGCGAAAGUGUGGGGAGCAAACAGGAUUAGAUAC